rnacentral:ncRNA from 1 species
UACAACGGGGAGCCGAAAGGCUGAGAGGAAGCCGGACAUAAAUGCCGGGCUUCGACCCAUGGACCUGAUUUGGAUAAUGCCAACGUAGGGAAAUAU